GGAGGAAGAAAAGCCACAGCAUUCAGCCUGCCGGAGUCUGGCACUGUGAAGGAGCCUGGCUGUUUGGUGAGAUGCACUCACUCUGGAGAAGCACAAGGGAAUGAAACGCCACAUUAACCCUCCGUCUGUCCUCCAGGAGGCUCCAGGCUGCCCUAUUAGUGCCUGGAGUCAAGGAGACCCCAACAGCCCAAGAAGCCAGCCAGAGACCCUGGAAACUCCUACCAGAGAAGACAGACCUACAGAAAAGAUAGAGACACCACCCCUUCGAGAAGGAAGGAGCCCUAGGAACUUGGAGGAUGUAAAUCUGCCAAGCACAGCCUUCAGUCUGCGUGGAUUCUUCACCGCUGAGCCACCACGGAAGCCCUCUAGACUAAGAUGGACCUGCAUCAGAUGACGUGUCCUUGUAGGUAAAGCAGGGAGAAGACACAGACACACAGAAGAAGGUCACGUGCAAACGGAAGCGGAGAUUGGAGUUAUGCGGCCAGAAGUCAGGGGACGCCUGGAGCCACGUUGGAAGAGGCAAGCAAGGAUUCUCCCCAGCUUAGUGCCUUGGCAGGGAGCAUGGCCCAGCCAACACCUUGAUUUUGGACUCUGGCCUCCAGACUCUGAGCAACUAAAUUUCUGUUGUUUUUAAGUCACCAAGUUUGUGCUAAUUUUUUCUACUGGCAGCCCUAUGUCAUUAACACAGUGACCUAACAUGCUCGUUGUUUCCUACCUCUGAACCUUUGCCCGUGCUGCUCCUACACCUAGAACCCCCUCU